rnacentral:rRNA from 1 species
GAUGAACGCUGGCGGCGUGCUUAACACAUGCAAGUCGAACGGUGAACGAGGGAGCUUGCUCCCUCCGGAUCAGUGGCGAACGGGUGAGUAACACGUGAGCAAUCUGCCCCGAACUCUGGGAUAAGCGCUGGAAACGGCGUCUAAUACCGGAUCCGACGCGCGAAGGCAUCUUCUGCGCGGGGAAAGAAUUUCGGUUCGGGAUGAGCUUGCGGCCGAUCAGCUAGUCGGUGAGGUACCGGCUCACCAAGGCGACGACGGGGAGCCGGCCUGAGAGGGUGACCGGCCACACUGGGACUGAGACACGGCCCAGACUCCUACGGGAGGCAGCAGUGGGGAAUAUUGCACAAUGGGCGCAAGCCUGAUGCAGCAACGCCGCGUGAGGGACGACGGCCUUCGGGUUGUAAACCUCUUUUAGUAGGGAAGAAGCGAAAGUGACGGUACCUGCAGAAAAAGCACCGGCUAACUACGUGCCAGCAGCCGCCGUAAAAC